GGGGGGGGGGGGGGGGGGGGCUGGGGGGGGCGGGGCGGGCGGGCGGGCGGGGAGCUUGCUCCUCUGACGUUAGCGGCGGGCGGGUGAGUGACACGUGGAUAACCUACCUAUAAGACUGGGAUAACUUCGGGACACCGGAGCUAAUACCGGAUGAUAUAUUGAACCGCAUGGUUCCAUAGUUAAAGACGGUUUUGCUGUCACUUAUAGAUGGAUCCGCGCCGCCUUAGCUAGUUGGUAAGGUAACGGCUUACCAAGGCAACGAUGCGUAGCCGACCUGAGAGGGUGAUCGGCCACACUGGAACUGAGACACGGUCCAGACUCCUACGGGAGGCAGCAGUAGGGAAUCUUCCGCAAUGGGCGAAAGCCUGACGGAGCAACGCCGCGUGAGUGAUGAAGGUCUUCGGAUCGUAAAACUCUGUUAUUAGGGAAGAACAAAUGUGUAAGUAACUAUGCACGUCUUGACGGUACCUAAUCAGAAAGCCACGGCUAACUACGUG
rnacentral:rRNA from 1 species